GGAGGGUGCAAGCGUUGUUCGGAAUUAUUGGGCGUAAAGAGCGUGUAGGCGGUUCGGUAAGUCAGAUGUGAAAGCCCUGGGCUCAACCCAGGAAGUGCAUUUGAAACUACCAGACUUGAGUACGGGAGAGGAGGGGGGAAUUCCCGGUGUAAAGGUGAAAUUCGUAGAUAUCGGGAGGAAUACCAGUGGCGAAGGCGCCCCUCUGGACCGAUACUGACGCUGAGACGCGAAAGCGUGGGGAGCAAACAGGAUUAGAUACCCUGGUAGUCCACGCCGUAAACGAUGAGCACUAGGCGUAGCGGGUAUUGACCCCCUGCUGUGCCGUAGCUAACGCAUUAAGUGCUCCGCCUGGGGACUACGGUCGCAAGACUA
rnacentral:rRNA from 1 species